UCUUGGUCANUUUAGAGGAAGUAAAAGUCGUAACAAGGUCUCCGUUGGUGAACCAGCGGAGGGAUCAUUAGCGAGUUGGUUACAAGCUCCAAACCCAUGUGAACAUACCUACUGUUGCCUCGGCAGGUCGUGCUGCGCGGCAGGAUCGCCCCCCCUCGGGUUCAGCUGCUACAGGACUAGCUACCCUGUAGCGGCUACCCUGGAGUGGCUACCCUGGAGCAGCUGCUACUGGACUAGCUACCCCGUAGCAGCUGCCCUGGGGCAGCUACCCCGCAGCGGGGGGGCGCCCGCCCCGCAGCACGCCAACAGGCCUGCCGGAGGACCCCUAAACUCUGUUUUACACCUGUAUCUCUGAGGGCUAUGAUGGAAAUAAGUUAAAACUUUCAACAACGGAUCUCUUGGCUCUGGCAUCGAUGAAGAACGCAGCGAAAUGCGAUAAGUAAUGUGAAUUGCAGAAUUCAGUGAAUCAUCGAAUCUUUGAACGCACAUUGCGCCUGACAGUAUUCUGUUAGGCAUGCCUGUUCGAGCGUCAUUUCAACCCUCAAGCCCUAUUUGCUUGACGUUGGGAGUUUACGGAGACGUAAUUCCUUAAAUAUAGUGGCGGAGCCGGGUCGUGCUCUGGGCGUAGUAACCAAACUCUCGCCUCUGUAGCCGGCUCGGGUCUUGCCGUAAAACCCCCUAUAUUCUUCUGGUUGACCUCGGAUCAGGUAGGAAUACCCGCUGAACUUAAGCAUAUCA
rnacentral:rRNA from 1 species